AUGUAGUUGUUUAUAACACUGGCUAGCUUCUAGUCAGCAGGGAUGUUCCCAGGCUACCAAGACCUUUGGUAAUUCAUUGAGAGGGGUCCAGCUAUAACAUCCAUUAAUUCCUUUAGUCUGGAAUGAACACCAUCAAGCCUCAUGGACUUAAGAACAUUAAGCUGGUACAGAUGGUCCCUUACGAUUUGGUGGCCACAAAUAUAUAAAUCUCUGCUCCCCUUGCAUGGAUUCUAGCAAAAUGAUUCACCAGACUUCUCUCAAAAUAAAGACUUUCACGUUACCUUGUCCUCCAGUGGACACUGCCUUCACUGUGACCUUUCAGUGAACCCCUGGUGCCUUCCUCACUAAAUUCUUCUUACUUUUGGGUUGAGCUAAGCUGGGCCUUGAGUUCCGUACUUUUCAGAUGCCACUAUGGAAGAAAAGACAAGACAGGCGCCUGAGCGUUGUUCUGGAUUUUCCUAGACUCUAAAGUUUGUUUCUGCCUGUUUCAAACAAGAGUGAAGUAUGUGGAAGUCUCAGGUAAUAGCUCCUGAAGUCAUGAGCUACUUCCUCAGUCCCUACAUGAAGAUUAAAUGAGUCAGUCAGUGGCAAACUGCUGAGACUACAACUCAGCUUUCUUAACUCUUUCAAGUGCUUCAUCCAUCUGUCUUCACCACCUGCCAUGGUUAAUUUUUAACAUCUGCAAAGCUGUAAUGGAAUCAUUUACAUGCUUACAACAAAACACGCACUGUUUGCUGGAUUCUGUCAAUGUUGCUUAAAUUUUACUUCUACAGCUAAACUGCAGAAAAGUGUCUCAGGCAAUAUAGAGAACAGGUGACACUUGAUAGCCACAGUUAUCAUAUUUGGAUUCUUUUUUUAUUGAGAACAACACUUCAAGGACAGAUGGAUUAUUACCUUUCCACAAAAGUACUCACAUUUCUGCUGAGUAACCUUCUUAUCAUCUCCUUUUAUUACUAAAUCUUAAUGAGAUAGUAAUAUAAAACAUAAUUAAUUUUAUCAUCAUUUUAAAAUUAAUGUGAUAAUCAAAGUAGAAUUCCAUCUGCAGAACCCAUUUUGGAUCUUCGGUCUUCUAAAAAUUCCCUAGAGUGCCCACCCCGCUACUGAUGAUGAUAAAUUUGGGGAUUACGUUUCUGGAUAACAGUGUGAGAAUGAUACUCUUGUCAAUAGGAUGCCAAGUAGUUAUCAGGUGGUAAAAACUAACCAAGCCCUUAUAAUCAACAGUAAAGAAUGAUGGCUUUGCAUUUAAUGAACUGGAUAGGCACUCAGUUUGUCUCUUAAGUGUACUUAGCAUCUACACAACACAUACGUCCCGUACAGUACAGGCUCGUGAGCACACACAGUCAAGAAGCAAUGGCUUAUGAGAGUGAUUGUAGCUAAUGAAUUUCACUUCACAGCUCAGGGGUACACACGUGGGCUGCUACUCACUCCUAGUGCUGAGCAGUGCUUUAUUAAAAUCCCAUGACUUGAUCACACGCAGCCCACAUGCUCAUGCCCUGUUCCUGAGUUCAGUAACCUUGGGGAACUGGGUUUGCAGCCCCAAAAUCAGAAAUUAGUUGGUAACUGCUCAGGACUUAGCAAACAGGCUGCACUGGCACACAUGAAGGAAGUGACUUUGUAAACCCUGUCACUGAUGGCCUGAAGUGAUCUUUGUUUCCCAGCUAUAGAAUACAAUCAUGAACACAGAUGACUGUGAUGACUGUAGGCUGUGAAGCCCUUUACCUGUUUCAUCUUUUGAGGCUCCAGUCCUGCAGCACACACACACACAAUUUUAUCACUGUGAGAGGAGCUGCACUAGGAAUGAGGUUGGCAAGUUCAUGCUUACAAGGUCAUGGACUAAUAAAUAUUUGGGAUGAGAUUUAUUCCCUAGUUAAUGGCCCAAACAGCGCACAGGCAGCAGAUCCUUUUUUCUCCAGUAAGAAAGCAUGUAAUAAUAAUAAUGAAGUGAAAAGUUCUAUCCUUUGUCAUUUCACAGCACUGUCAUAUUAUACAUCUAGUACCAUGUUUGGCUUUUCUGACUGGCCCUGUUAAUUUAUGAUGUAUCCAUAGGAAUGCAGACUUGGAAGACAGAUUGGCCAUUUCUAAUAAGUAUUAUACAAUUAUACAGUGUCACACAAUUGCUAAACAAGAGAAAGGAAAAGAGACCUGCUUUGCAAAGCUCUGAAUUUCUAACAUGCAAUUGGCCCAAUGGGACACGGAGGUUUCAAUCAAUAGCACACCUAUUUACAUGGACUGAUGUAAUUCAGACAGGCAAAAAGAAGCAUGAAAGACUAAGUAGCUAAGGACUGCUGCCCUGUUUUUAUUUCAGUUCCUUUCCACAAGGCUGCACAGCACUAUUAUCAGGUGAGAGGCACUGAGCGGCAUUUCAUGUAUUAUUUAAGAGAAACCACAGCUGUUUUAGAUGGUAAAAGGGUGCAAUGUCAAGUGAGUAUUAUCCGUUAUUUUCACUUGAGCUGAGAAAUGUUUUAGCACCGUUUCCUCUCUACAGGGAAACCUGGCUAGUGGGUCACUUCUCACUCCUAUCGCUGAGGCCUCGAGAGCUGCUUUAAUGAGUGCUAGCUCCCCGCUGAUUAUUGAUUCCAUCUGGCUCAAUGAACAGGAAUAAAUAGUUCCUAAUUUGUUGUGGCAUUGCAUAGAUGUGUUUAUUUAUUAAAGGAGAGAGCUGUGGCAGCAUGCAUCCCAUUCAGCACCAGUACCACGAGCUUGGUAUUGGCAGGAGAGAAGCAAAUCCCUGCCGCUGAGCGGCAGGCCAUGCCAGGUAGCUGGCAUGGUGAGAUGCUCACAGUUACUGCCUCUCUGCAAUGGUCAGUCUCUAGGCUCCCUCUCACACAUCUGAUCACAUCUGUCACCAAAGACAUUCCCAUGUCAAACCCUUUCGUCCCACUCAUUGAGGUCCUUGUCCCUGACACUAUAGCUGCAUUUGCAUGAACAGGAACACUCUGGUGCUGCUGUGAUCAUAUUAUCCAACAUCCCGAACUAAUUCAUGUAUAGCCGCACAGCCCUCCAGUGUGCUGGGAGACUCUGUGGUCACUUUUAUGGCCUAAAAGUCACUACUGUGUCACUACUUUGACAUCUUGACAUUGAGGGUUUGAAAUUAGUUCACAGGAAAACAAGAACAAGCUGAAACCAGUUCAAGGUUGCAGGGAGUAGUUUCCCCCAGAUUAUCAGAUUUGUCUUCAGGAAACCUGUGUUCCAGCUUAAUGUUAUUACCCGCAGGAGCAAACUCCAUACUAUAGCUAACCUGCCGAUAAAAUGAGGUCUAAGUUGUUCCUUUUUCCUUAUCUCUGCCUGCUUUAUCCAUGGACAUUUGACUGUCCAGGCCAGGGAAAGUCUCUCACUCCUUAUUCAAGCCAAAACUUUUUACUAUGAGAACAUCAUCCGCGCAGGGGCCUUCAGGAAUCUCUAUUACAGAAAUAACAACAAAUUUUAUCCAAAGGAAAAAGGCAAGAAAUUAUGUAUGGUUUUCCUGAAAGCACUAUGAUAUGCUGCAAAGACAUUUUUUGCCCUCCUGUAAUGAAACAAAAAAUGGUACAACACUGAAUCCCAAAUGUGCUCUUCUUUCAGUAAUGUAAUAUUACAGAACUCUAGCGAGGCAACUGAUGUUUCUUUCCUUUCAUUUAUUUUCUCUAAAGAUAGUUACUCAGCUCUGUGAGUUGGAACUGGAUGUUCUAUACUGAUGAUUAAAUAACCCAAUUAGUCCUAGGUUUUAAUCACUAAAUAUUCUUGUUGGAGUAUAUUUAGAAUACAUUCUUAUAAUUCCAUUGGCAAUUUCACAGACAAUGAAGAGAAGUAAGUUGGAGGAGAGGGUUUGCCUUCUGCCUAUACCCAACAGUAUUGUAUUUUCUGACAGCUGUAGGCCCUUCAUUCCCAGAAAUUACUCUACUUUGUCAUACUUACUCUAGGGAGGGAGAAGUUGUGUCAGAAAUGGAAGCAUGAAAUAGGGCACUUCAAUGGAUAGAGCAAUUCCAGGAGGGAAUUCUGCACUGAAUGAGUCAUCACCAGACCUCUAUAGUUCACUGCUUGUAUUUGUGUAUAAACAAGUGCAGACUCCAGGAAAAAAAGAUGCCUCUACUACCUCUCUAAGAGCAUGCAUAUUAAGGUCCUCAUCAGACCUCUGCUCUCACACAUGGAAGUAGCCUACUCUCAGCUGCCUUGUUCAGAAAAUCUUGUGAACAGAGGUUUGUUAGUGAGAUUCUUGACAUCGUCUCCAACAAUACCUGAUGGUACCAACCCUAUUAGACUAACUUUAACUGAAUGCAAAAUAUACCACAUAAACAAGAAAGCACCCAGAAGUGCUGGGAGUCAGACACAUUUGUCUUCCUUGCCCAUUACCAGUCAAUGCCCUUGCCACGUUAUUUGGGUCAGGAAGGACAAGCUCACUCCUCUUCUUUCCCUCAUCCCCAAGUAUGGGAUCUAAGAGAAGAAAGGAGAGCAGCAAAACUUUACAGCAGUGUUUUAUGCUUACCCCAGGCACUUGCCCUGAGAGGGCAAGGUUUUCUCCCUGUGUUGAGUUACAGAGAAUUACAGUUACUGAGUUACAGGCCUGAUGCUGAGACCCAUCACACACACUGUUUGAGCUGUUACUCCAGUGCAUGGAAACUAGCGCACAAAUGCAACUUCUGAGGUGCAGAUGAACUUGUGCAAGUACUCAGUGAAGCAAUGCGAUCUUAUUUGCACAUCUGGUACAGGCCAGAGAGAAAUAAUUCAGUCAAAGCAAAAUCAGCAGGGGGUUACAAUAAUUCCUUGAUUAAAAUUUGUGAUUUUUAAACAGACGUAUCUGAUGCAAUGAGAACGAAAGGUAACACACGUUCAUUAACUCACAUAUGGAAUCUCAAAGUAAUGUCUUUCAACUCAGUAAUAAAUCAGAGCUGACAUUUAAUAAAGUCAGUCUCACAAUGUUUCUCAUUUGAUUAUGGCCACAGCGCUUCAGGAAAGCUGCUAGUUGUUUCUCAGUCACUUGUGUGUAUAGAUACCAGUGGCUGUAUUUUCUCUUUUUUUACCUGCAGUCUGGGCUGUUCUGUUACUUUUCCCCAGUGGUUACAUUUGACUGAAAGAAAGGAACUGCCAUCCAAGAUACUGAGAUUUCAGAAUUCUUUCACAGUUGGGGUGAGAAUAAGACAUCUUAGAAUCACUUGCAAACAAAACACUGAGAAAUAUUUUCUUCAUACAUUUUCUUUCUUCCUUCAUAUCAAUAAAGUUGGAGCUGGUGAUUUGUACUUACAUUGUGUUAUGCAGUCAAAAUAGAAAAUAGGAAAUAGAUGCUUGGACCUUUCUGAAAUUAAACAUUGCACCUUUCUGUUAGAAAGACUUAACAAUAAUUAUCCACUGAGAAUUUGACCAAAAAUGACAUUUAUCCGUGUGAUAUUUUCAUUCUGUAGCAUCAGCAUUUUCCAGUUUAAACAAGUAACCUUUGGAAAUUUUGAACUAGCCUUAUCUGAUGCAAGUUAAGCUGUACUGUCAUUACUAUGUGGGGCUCUGUCACUUGUUCACAGGAAGCAGUACCUGCAGAACUUAUCUUUGAGUUUAGAAGACAAGAUUGUGCAUCUCAGUAUGAAGUAUUCAUGAAAGCAGAAGAGAAAUAGAUAAGGGAAAAAAAAAAAAAACCAACACAACAAGCAUAUUCAGGCAUAGCAUAACAGAAGCAGAGAGCAAUGGAACACGGAAUAAACUAUGUAUAUGAAAAUGUGGUGUCCUAUCUAUAAAAAUGCUAACAACUCAUGGGACUAUUGAUAGAUAACACAAGAAGUGUAUGAGCUUUUUGUCCAGAAACUUGCUUGCCUAUGAUUUGGUGUGUGAUACACAAUGCUGUGGGCAGAUGUCUAGAGGAUUUGCUCUUUAGAGUGUUAAGGACACAAAUGUAUGGUAAUUGUAGUUUCUCUGUUGUAAUAUAGUUGAACAAAAUGGUCUAAUAUCUGGGAUACCACUUCUCAGAUGUCUCUGGUACUUGCACAGAAGCCAUUUGAUUUCAUGUUUAUGGAUAUACAUAUACAUACAUUUACAUACAUAUCUAUGGCUCAUGGUGACUUUCUUGUUGAGACUGAACCACAACAGACUACCUUUCUCUGUAACUACAGCACUUGUAGCCUCAUUUGAAACCUUACAUCAAGUAUAGAAAGAUAAUAAGACAGAUUCCGCUAAACUGAUUUCUACUCAAUCACCACUGAGUAGCAGGAAUACUGUCAGCUGCACAGACUCCACUUCAGCACUGGGGAUGGAUGUGGAAGGGAUCUGCUUUCCUUCCUCUCCCCAGCCAAGAAACAGGAGGUGCAGAGAAGCUGCAUGAGGCCACAGGGUCCCCAGAGAGACUCAUAAAAUCUAAUGAACUUCCUUCUUCCCUGCUCCCUUGUCAGAAUUUCCCCUAUUGCUACUACACUUAGUGGCAUUAGGAUCUUUGAGCUACUUAGCUAUUGGCUAUUUAUAUCCUUGUUAUGAAACAUUCAAAUAAUGUUGCCAGUGUCACCUUUACAGCUCUGCCCCCGAGGUCCUUCAGCGCCCUGACACAGGAAUACCGAAGCAGAGAGUCACAAAAUAGUUGAACCCAAAUUCGGAGGUUAUCUCUGCUAACUUCAGGGUACAAUCCUACACUUACAGGCUAAGUAAGUUCCCCUGCAAGUCCUGUGCUGCACAUUGGAUCUUAACAUUACUCUUAUAAAAAAUAACAGUGUAAAAUGAAUGGGAAUAGCUAAAAUUCUUUUUUUUUUCCCUGGGAAAAGAAGCACUGCAAAGAGAUGUAUGUAUAAAUCUAAACACAGGGAAUAAUGUAUUAAAAUGUCAGUACGACUUUUCCUAACAUUAAAUGUGUAUCAGGAAUCUUUUCAAGGAUACUCACUUCAAAGGGCUGUAUGAGUUUGACUCACACUUCUGUUUUUCUAGUUUUGUGCCAUUCAUAUCAAAAUACACUAAAAAUGUAAUAAAACUUUGCAGCUAAAGAAGUAUAAACACAUCCAAGGAGCAUAUGUAUAUGUUUCUAUUAAUGACUUACUUAUGUGGUGCCACAUUUAUUAUAUUCAGGAUCAAAAUAUUCUCCUGCUCUUUUUUUCCCCCCAAAAUGCAUCCUACAUUGCUCUUCACUCAGCCCCUGCUGAAGAGAGGCAUCCCUGACCAAAGCACUCAUAGCCACAGAUAGAUUUCCCCAUUCCCUUUUGAGCUCAGCCACCAGCUGGAUAACUUCAAAGGUAGAAGAAAAAUGACUGCUUAUUCUUUAUUCUCUCAUACUGAGAAAAAAAAAAAAUGAACUGUUAAGAAGAGGAGAAAGCAGUUAAUGCACCCUUGCCUUAUAAAGAGACAACCACAACAUCUACAGCGAUAGAGACCCUCCGUUUAGGCCAGUCAAUCCCAGGAAUGCUACAUUUGAAGAGGAAGUAGCAAACAAUAAUAGAACUUAGACAAGACAAAGCCUCUGACUGGACACCUGCAAACCUCUCACAAGAAAGUUCCUCACAAGAGAGUACACUGCAAUUUCUUUAUCCUACCUCAAUACUACAAUCAAUCAACUAUUUUUUUCAGUUCACCUGGGAGUAUUACUACAGAAAUAGAAUUUGAGAUGUAAAUUAUGUAGUAACUGCUUCCAUAGCUUUCUAACUAUCAUCAUAUGUUGGAUGCUCACCAUGCAGCC
ensembl:lncRNA